rnacentral:lncRNA from 1 species
GUCACACGGCAAAGACAAGCCAUUUCAGUCAGCAUCUCAAGCCCAUUUUCUUCAUUUGACCUUUCCUCUUCUUGCCUCAUUGCUCUUACCCAAUCCAACAUAUCGUCUUCCGCCAUAAACGGUUGCCUCGAAGCUGUUUUACCGGUCAGUAGCUCUAAGAGGAAGACUCCAAACGAGUAUACAUCGCAUUUGGAUGUGGGACUGUUUACUGUUGAUUUCCUGAUCUCUGGUGCUUUGUAGGAAGCCAUGUCAGGGUCGCUGGGAGGGACAGAGGAGUCUGUCAAGACACUGAGACAGUAAUCUGUGAGACAAGCUUCGAAGUCGUGACCGAGGAGGAUGUUAGUGGACUUGAGAUUCCCAUGGAAUUUUGCAGAUGAU